rnacentral:rRNA from 1 species
UUCGUAGGCGGUUUGAUAAGUCAGUGGUGAAAUCUCCUAGCUUAACUAGGAAAUGGCCAUUGAUACUGUUAGACUUGAAUUAUUGGGAAGUAACUAGAAUAUGUAGUGUAGCGGUGAAAUGCUUAGAUAUUACAUGGAAUACCAAUUGCGAAGGCAGGUUACUAUCAAUACAUUGACGCUGAUGAACGAAAGCGUGGGUAGCGAACAGGAUUAGAUACCCUGGUAGUCCACGCCGUAAACGAUGGAUACUAGCUGUUCGGUCGCAAGACUGAGUGGCUAAGCGAAAGUGAUAAGUAUCCCACCUGGGGAGUACGUUCGCAAGAAUGAA